UACGUAGGGUGCGAGCGUUGUCCGGAAUUAUUGGGCGUAAAGAGCUCGUAGGCGGUCCGUCGUGUCGAAUGUGAAAACCCGGGGCUCAACUCCGGGCUUGCAUUCGAUACGGGCGGACUAGAGUUCGGUAGGGGAGACUGGAAUUCCUGGUGUAGCGGUGAAAUGCGCAGAUAUCAGGAGGAACACCGGUGGCGAAGGCGGGUCUCUGGGCCGAUACUGACGCUGAGGAGCGAAAGCGUGGGGAGCAAACAGG
rnacentral:rRNA from 1 species